ACUUUAUUGAGCGCAAGUUUCGGCCAAGCCAUAUUAUUUGAUGUGGUUUUUGCCUUGGUUAUGAAGUCGAGUCUGCCAGGCUGUGAGUACAUUUAUAUUUCUCUCCUUCAACGGCCGAUAAAAUUAACUAUUUUGCCAGCGUGCACGUAAUGGGCGCAUCAUUUGCCAAGGGCUGUCUGUGUGUGUGUGUGUGGCCUGGUCCUGUCUGCACAUCGUCCCAUGGCCACAGCCCUUCCCCGCUUUCAUAUCCUGUUUCGAGUGCUUUAAAUUGCCAUAAAAAUGCGCUAUCGACUGCCAUCUUUUCGGACGGCUCUCUGCCCCAGCUGUGGAUCGUUGCUGUUGUUGCUGCCUUCCUGUGCGUUUGCCUGCCACAUUUCUACACUCAAUUUGUACAAAAUUUAAUUGUCUGCUGCCGUUGCUCUUGCGUCUAUUUAUUUGUAUUUUUUCUGUGCUUGUUUUUUCUUUUUCUUGUUUUCGCAUUAUUUGUUGCUUCGUUUUUUCGGUUAACGCCUGCCAAUGCCAAAUGCCGUCCGAUUGCCGCUGUCCGCUGUCCGCUGUCCGCUGUCCGGGGGCAGCAUUGCCUAUUUUUAUGUCGUUUUAUUUAUUGACGAUGCGCCCUUUAAAUCAAUGAAGCAUAGGUCUAGGCCUUGUCGCUUAAAUUUACGCCGAAGCCUCUCCAUUC
rnacentral:lncRNA from 1 species